ACACGUGAUAUCUCCAUGGAAAGCACCUAUUCUCUAGCAAAUCGUACAGCAGCUGUCUGAAUUUUUUGUUUAUAACUCAAUUAUUUUAUUAAAUAUUUAAUUUGUUUAUUUAUUAUACUACUUUGAGUUACGUCUAGUUUAAUUAUUUGAAUUAAAAUAAUAAUCGUUUACUUGAUAACGAAGCUGUAUAUUUUUCAUAAUUAUGGCGAUGGAAUACUUCACACAGCAACCAGUCACUGAUGAUAAACUCGAUGCACAUGAAUGUAAUGAACUUAGAGGAGCUACAUCAUCAAACUCAUGUUUAAGGUGUUUCUUUUUAUAUUUGCAAUCUAACGCUCGUAAUGUGAAAUUGCCAAAUGAAUCAUGGGCUGUUUUUGUGAAACGUGAUAAAUUUGUUGUUUUUCCACGACUAGAGAUGAAUGAUUUUGAGAAGCAUUUAAACUUGACAAUUUUGUCAAAUGGAGAAGCAAGAGUACAUUACAGAAAACAACAUGCUGACUGGAUAGAAUGUCAGCCAAAAUCACUAGCUGAUAUCAGUGAAAUUCUGAAAUCUUUAGACAGUCUUGAAUGGUAAAAGUUCAUUGCAUUCUGGAAUUUUCGCCCAAUUAUUACUUAUUAAAAUGUUCGCCAGAGCUACUCAUUAUUAUAAACAAUUGUUGAUAACUAUUUAUCUAAAAUCCGGAGCGUUUUCAUCACGAGAAUAGGGCUCACGGCAUUAGAAAGACAAUUAAUUUGAAACUAUAGAUAGAAAUCUUGAAGUCAAGUAUUUAAAAAGUUAUACGAAUUAUAAAAAACUGGGAUUUUGUUUUUUUGGUAAUUAACAAAUUUCUAACAAUAGAAAAAACAUAUUUAUUUCUCAAUUAUAUAGAUUUUGCGAUUUUAAAUAUUCUGGCGAAAAAUCGCAUCCAAGAUUCAUUUUUAGUAUUUUCUUAAUAUUUUUGGUAAUUCUUAUUUUGUUGAUAAGUUGUCAAUUUCUAUUAAUCAGUUAUCAAUGGUAUAACUAAUUGAUAGAAAAUUAAAGUAAUUUAUUUUAUAUGCUUUUUUUAUAUAGAGAAAACAAUACUAGCAGGCUUACGCCUAUGUAAAACUAAACGUUGAUUAUUGAAUAACGAAUAUUUUAUUUAUUUUUGUAUUAUUAUAGUAUAGAUGAAACUCGAGUUGAAAAAAAUAAAAAUUUUAAUCGUAAAUUAAAAUUAGAAAUAAAAACUAUAAUAUCAGAAAUAAUAAUAAUUAACAAUAAUAACAUUGAGUAUCCAAGACUUGUAAAUUUCAUAUUAUAUUUAUUAGUGGCAAUAAAUUAUAGAAAAAUUUACACAAAUAUUGUCUUAGAGCAUAUAAACAUAUGGCCACAUACUUUAAUAUUAUAACGAUAAUUAUAUAAUGUGUUUUGGAAGAUUAUUGUAUUGAAAUAUUGUAUAUUAUAUAUAUACAAUAUUUUAAUAUCAUAAUAUAUGUAAAAUAUUUUAGUCGUUUUAUAUUUUGAUACUUUGCCAACUGAUUAAAAACUAAUAAGUUUUUUUAUUCUUAUUUUGUUGUCAACAUUAUUUUGCACCAGCAAUUUCUCGUGAUUAAUUUUUGCAAAAAAAAAUUAGUAAAAAAAUAGUAAUGAAAAUGAAAAAAUUAAAAAAGACUCUUACUUUUUCGGUUAAAAAACAAACAAAUUUUAAGCAUCUGUUAUCAACCGGUUAAUAACCAUCACAGCUCUAAAGAAAAACCGGCCAAAAAGUGCUUGCGACAGUUUUUAUGUAAAUACUAUAAUUAACAGAGAUAUAAAUAGCUAUAAAACCAGCUAAAACUAUUGCUGCACUCUUUGGCUACAUCUUAUGUAUUUAAAGUUUAUUUGAGCAAUAAACAACUAUAUUCCAA
rnacentral:lncRNA from 1 species